rnacentral:rRNA from 1 species
UACAGAGGGUGCGAGCGUUAAUCGGAAUUACUGGGCGUAAAGGGCGCGUAGGCGGUUAUAUGUGUGGGAUGUGAAAGCCCUGGGCUUAACCUGGGAAGUGCAUACCAAACUGUAUAACUGGAGCAUAUGAGAGGGUAGCGGAAUUUCCGGUGUAGCGGUGAAAUGCGUAGAGAUCCGGAGGAACACCAGCGGCGAAGGCGGCAUCCUGGACUGGUCCUGACACUCAGGAGCGAAAGCGUGGGGAGCGAUCCGG